rnacentral:rRNA from 1 species
AUUGAACGCUGGCGGCAGGCCUAACACAUGCAAGUCGAGCGGCAGCGGGAAAGUAGCUUGCUACUUUUGCCGGCGAGCGGCGGACGGGUGAGUAAUGCCUGGGAAAUUGCCCAGUCGAGGGGGAUAACAGUUGGAAACGACUGCUAAUACCGCAUACGCCCUACGGGGAAAAGCAGGGGACCUUCGGGCCUUGCGCGAUUGGAUAUGCCCAGGUGGGAUUAGCUAGUUGGUGAGGUAAUGGCUCACCAAGGCGACGAUCCCUAGCUGGUCUGAGAGGAUGAACAGCCACACUGGAACUGGGACACGGUCCAGACUCCUACGGGAGGCAGCAGUGGGGAAUAUUGCACAAUGGGGGAAACCCUGAUGCAGCCAUGCCGCGUGUGUGAAGAAGGCCUUCGGGUUGUAAAGCACUUUCAGCGAGGAGGAAAGGUUGAAGCCUAAUACGUAUCAACUGUGACGUUACUCGCAGAAGAAGCACCGGCUAACUCCGUGCCAGCAGCCGCCGUAAUAC